rnacentral:lncRNA from 1 species
UGGGCGUGUGUUCGAUCAGAAGAAGAGAAAGAAAGGGGUCAAACCCUAGAACACCAAAAUCUAUCAAAUUGAAAGGGGAAUUGAAGCCUAGUUGAAUGCAUGAACUAAGAAUGAUGAUCAUCUAAGCAUACCCAACAUCAACUAUGCACAAACUUGGAUGCACGAGGAAACCCCAAAUUGGCAUGGACUCAAGUAUGGAAGGCUAACAGAUCAAGAGGAAAUGAGGAAGCUAUGCACAAACUUGGAUGCACGAGGUAAGUGAUUCCGUAAUCACUUCUUAGUAUGUUUAAGUAAUGUAGCGUUUUAAUUAAUUAAUUAAACAUGAUGUCUAAAGUCAAAUGUGGAUUAGGAUGUAUGAAAUUAGUGGAUUUCAUUAAGUAGACCAAUGGGUCAAAUUAAGGUCUUAUGAUUAUGUUGAAAUGUUGCAUAAGAUAUGGCUACGGUACUAUAACUGGUUAAUGGGUAGAAUUGCUUGUAAGUACGUGAUCCGGGAAUCGGAGAUGCGGUUUAAUGGUCAACAUAAUCAGAGGUGAGUUUGGUUUAAUAGAUAAACCAUUAUAUAAGUGGAGGUUUUAGUAACGAAGUUUGAUUCGUAGACUUAAAUGAAAUGAAUGAGUUUAACGAAUACCGGGUAUUGGAUGUGUAAACCCCAAGUACGAAACUCCGGAUAAAGUAAAAGUAUUAUGAUUAUAAUGUUCAUGUAUGUUUUGGGAUAAAACAAAUGAGUGGUUUGAUGAAAACAUGAACGGGUCGAAUAAUUAGAAAAUGACUAUUAAGUCGAAAGCGCGUAAGUUAAGAAUUUCCUUUAACCGAAAGUGGGAUAUCAAGUCCAUAUCAUAGAGGGUUAAAUUACGAUCACGUAGGAAAAAGAAUUGGGUAAAACGGAUAAAAAAUGAGAGAGUUAUGUCCGUUUCGGUAAGAAUUAAUGGCUGGGAAAAGUGCAGAGCUGACACGGCCGGGUGGUGAGUUGACACGGCCGGGUGAAGGUUCUGUCAAAAAUAUUAUUUAUGUGAUUUAUGCAUCGUAGGCUUCGGUAUAUUAUCCGUGGACUACGGUGGGCCUCCUAAACAUGAUUUCGAGUGUUCCCUUGACGAUUAUAAGUUGUAAACCCAAGUCUAAGCCUCAUGUAAUUUAUAUAAGAGUAUGAUAGAUGUAUGUAAUGAAGUUGGACAUGUAUUACAUGUAAAUGGUAUACAAGAAUGCGUACGGAACACGUAGGUAUGAAUACAUGAUUGUAGGUAUGAUUGAAUGUAUAUUAGGUAUGUAGAUGUGUAUGAUUGUAAGUAUGUAUGUGUGCAAGUAUGUGCGAAUGCAUGAUUUGGAUGCAUUUGAGAAUUAACGUUACUAACAAUGCCCUUGAGAUUGGGAUGUAAUGCAGGAAUGAGAAUGUUGGAUUCUUAUGAAGUUGAAGCCGAACUCGGAUCAAGAGACUUAGAGAGAAUAGUCGAAUGAAUCGAAGCUAUAUUGUCGAACAUUAUACGAAAGUUAAUUGUGUGAGAAUAUUGUUGUAUGAGGUUGUCAAUGACUAAUGAUUAAGUUGUAUGUGAUGUUCACAGGUACCAUACGGAUUUCUUCUUCUACUACCAAAGAUGAGCGGACGAAGAUCGAGUCAAGAGCAAGGAUUGUACGGGAAGGAUCGGUCACAUAGUUUAACAAAUGUAGGUCCGAAGUAUUAAUAUAAUGGAACGUGGUAAAUACUUUUUAAUGAGUGUAUGACAUUUGGUAUUUGAACUUUCCUGUAAGUACUAUGUCUAUUAAAGAACGAAAUUUUGG